ACUCAUACAUGUGUACAAGUAUGACUCGUUCGAGUAUGACUCAUACAUUUGAGAAUGACUCAUACAUUUGAGUAUGACUCAUACAUAUGAGUAUGACUCAUACAUGUAUCACUCAUACAUGUGUAUGAGUAUCACUCAAACAUGUGUACGAGUAUGACUCACAUGUGUACGAGUAUCACUCAUACAUAUGAGUAUCACUCAUACAUGUGUACGAGUAUGACCUAUACAUGUGUAAAAGUAUGACUCAUACAGGUGAGUAUCACUCAUACAUGUCAUACAUUUGAGUAUGACUCAUACAUAUGAAUAUCACUGAUACAUGUGUAGGAGUAUGACUCAUACAUGUGAGUAUCACUCAUACAUGUGUACGAGCAUGACUCAUACAUAUGAGUACGACUCAUACAUGUGUACGAGUAUGACUCGUACAUGUGUACGAGUAUCACUCGUACGAGUAUGACUCGUACAUAUGAGUAUGACUCGUACAUGUGUAAGAGUAUGGCUCAUACAUGUGAGUAUCACUCAUACAUGUGUAGGAGUAUGACUCAUACACGUGUAUGACUCAUACAUAUGAGUAUGAUUCAUGUGUAAGAGUAUGACUUAUAUGAAUAUAACUGAUACAUGUGUAGGAGUAUGACUCUUACAUGUGUACGAGUAUAACUCAUACAUGAGUACGAGUAUGACUCAUACAUGUGUAAGAGUUUGACCCAUACAUGUGUAUGAGUCAUACACGUGUAUGGGUCAAACUCAAACACAUGAGUAUGACUCAUACAUGUGUAUGAGUAUGAGUCAUACUCGUACACGUGUAUGAGUCAUACACAUGUAAGAGUCAUAGGCGUGUAAGAGUUGGAGCAGAAGUCAAUGGUAAAAGUAAAAAAAGCAUCAACCAAAGUAGUUGUAAGUGUGGUCCACCACCAUCAUGUUUGACAUGUGCUGCUAUCUGUCUGUCUGUCUGUCUGUCUGUCUGUCUGUCUGCCUGCCUGUCGCCUGCAUGUUGCCUUUUUCAACUUGAUGUGCAAAGACAGGAGAGGAGGAGUCAAAUAAAUAUCAGCGAAACAGGGAAUCAUGUCACACAUACUGUAUCUUCUGUGGACCUCCAUUUCCUAAAGUACUUUCAUGUGUUGUAUUUUUAUAUGACAGAUUCUUUUUUGUCUGUGAUGGUGUGAAUUGAAGAUGAAAUAAAAACAUUUUGUGAGGCCGCAAAUUACUACUGAUGGGACCCGAAGGGGCUUUUUUUUUUGUU